CAGGACGUAGGUUUGUUUAGAGUGACCUUCUCUUAGAUGGAUGGCCUUACAGGGCUGACGAGAUGGGAUGUAUUAGCAUGUCCUUAACAACCACCCCCAAAAGCCCCCAGCACCCACGACAUACAAGUUUAUGAGAAGAUGGAAUUUUUUCACUAAAACUGUUACUGUGGACGUGGCGGGGAGCUGGAAUGGGGCCCCUGAGGAGCCUGUGUGGAGCCAUUGAACCUCCUGAGUUGAGGUGACAGUGCUGGAUUGUCACAUCUCAGGGCUGAUAGAGCAUUGUUAGGUCAGGAUGUUCAUGAAGUGUCGCAGCUGUUUGCAGAGUGGCUGUCACUUUGAAAGCAGCACAGUCAUACUCAUCGUGUCCUUGACCUGUGCCUGCAGCCUCUCCUGCUUUGGUCACAAGGUGUCAGGCCUCGUACACCUGUGUCUUUUCCAGUUUCUCUCAAGAGCCUGGUGACAGGGAGGCUUCUGGUCUUGCCAAAACCCAACAAAAAGUGUAGUUUUUCCUGCAGCUUUUCAGCUUAUAUAUGUUUUGCCAUAGAGGUCUGUGUUUGUCUCUUGGUACUUCUACUUUGUGUGUGAUCCUUUCCCCUUUGGGCUAGGAUCUUUUCCCCUUUUCAUGAUGACUCCUCAGAACUUGGUCUUCCAGCCUCCUACCCGCCUUAUGUUUAUAAUAAAUAUUUUUGUUUCAUUUGUUCACUUCGGUGGGUUUUGUCCAUGAAUAGAACCUCCUGACAUCACUCAGAGUCUUGGAUAAUAUCUGUGAUGGGGCAGUAGUAGGUGACAUUUGAGGUGUUGCUGUUUGAGGUGAUGCUGCUUCAUUGACUCUGAAUACCUUCCUGUUCUGUUGAGAUCUUCCAUCUGUGUAGUGCUGCCUUCCUAGCGCUGCUGAGAGCCAGCUUGGAAGAGUUUCCAGCUUCUAGAGCAGUACCAGCGGUAGCAGAAAGGAUGAGAUCAAGCCUUUUCUGGCUUCGAGGGUUUGCUCUAUUGCCUGAGUCCUUUCUAAUAGAAAUGUCACUUCUUGUGGCCCAAGAGUUUUGGGUCCAGAGGUCAGCUUGGUUUGAGUGAGUUUUAGAGAUUUAGAUCUGCACACUGACAGGAGGAUCCCAUCAACCAUCACUGCUUCUUGGAACAGUUGGUCACAUCCAUUUGAGGCAAGUGAUUUUCUUCUGGGUUCUUUGAUCUCUGGUCUCUGGCCUGUGCUGGAUCAUGAGCCUGGCUUAGCUUAUGUCUCUUGAUCUCUUUAGGGUUCAGGAAAUGAAGAUUUCUUUGGUUUCAUUCCUAUUUUAGGGAAAUAGGAUGUUGUGAUCACUGCUCCUGAAUCUUAAAAUCUGUAGAUUCUCUGAAAUUGGUGAGGGUUUGUAUUCAUGGCUUUUGGCCAUUAGUCUUAGAAGAUGCUCUCAGGGAGAGCACUGCCUCCUGCAAUGGCACCUUGUUGGUGACAUCCUCACAGGUAUCAUCACUUAUACUUGCGUAGGCAACACAAAAUCUUGCAGCCUGCCUGUUUGUCAUUCAUGUGAGUACAUCAGCCAUUUAGGAAUUUAAAUCCUUGCCUGUUCCUAGUGGAUUUGUCUUAAAAAAAGUGUGAGUAAAUGCCAGUUAAUGUCACUGCUCCACAACAUUAUGAAAUGCCUAAGUGACUGUUGUGUUUUAUUUCAUCUGCAGAAUGUUCAGGUCGAUCCAUCUUUGAACAGUUUCUCUCUCCUUAAUGGGCAGUUUGGAAAAAUUAAUGAUCUGUUCCAGAGUAGCUGGGAUUUCUUUUUAUUCUGCAUUCUCAAGAGAAGCAUCCAACACAUGGCAGGAGGAACAGAGUUAAAAAGAAGAAAGAUUUGCUGCUAAAGUCAAGAAACUUGGAUAUUUAUUACUUAACACGGACCAACCCUCCAAACUGGUAUUAAAAGACUGAGGUGUAGAAACAGCUGAAAUCAGCUCUGGCAGUACAUCACAUUUCUUUUAGUGAACUGAAGCAGCAGCUCAGGUGAGCAUCAUCUGCAUUCUUGUUUCCAGAUUCAAUCCUGUGUUUUUAUAGAUAACUAUACAGAUGCAAAGACUCAUAGCUUAUUUUGAAAAAAGCGAUGAGGAUCUUUCCAAGUCUACCUCAGUAAUUCAGGAUAUUUGGUGACAUGUGAAAUAGGUGACUUUAUUUCAGAGGCAGAAGGACAGUUAACCACCUGCUCAGACUCACUGCAGGACUAUAUUAAUAUUUACAUGUUAAUAUUACUAACUAGCAAUCUCAAAUUAAUCACCACAUUAAUGAAGAGCCUUUUCUGAGAUUGUAAAUUCUAUUUUGUUCACUUUUGCUGCUUUUGUAUCUGCUGAAUGCCAGCUCCCCCUUUUCCAUGGGGUGGGAUUGGAGGGCCUGUACUCUGUUGUAAUAACUUUCUCCUGUUUGAAAUGCCAUUAUUUCUGGUCUGUUUUUAGAUGAUGAAGGAUAGACACUGCGAUGGGCACUAAAGCAUGGACUUGCAGUGUGCACUCUGAUGGCAGCAUAUCCAAGAGCUGUGUUGCAACAGAGAAGGUAAGUUGACAGGUGGGGGCCAGGGGAGGAAUGAGUUGAUGGCCAAGCUCUGGAUAGUUAAUCUUUUCUGGGUUUUUUUUUUAAAGUUUUAUGGACAGCUGUCAAAUUGAUCAGACAGCUGCUGAAACCAUUACAAAAACAAUUUGAGAAUUAGAUUUUUAACUGUUCCUGAAGUAUUUAUUUAUCCUUCAAGAUGUAGACAGAUGCAAAGUCACCAUUCUGUUCAGUGAGAUAUUUUUCCUGUUCAUUUUCUUGAUUGACAAUUACUGUUAGUGUAGCGCUUGUUGCUAGAAACCGUUGAGCUGGUCAUGCUCAUUUUUCUCUGCGGUGAGCUUGUGCUCUCCUGCUGUGAGCUCAUGCUCUCCUCUCUGUGAUGGGGGAGUGCUGGUUGCUGUUAGCUGCGCUCUAAAGACAAGAAUUCCUGGGUGAGGUCAAGUUUAGGUAGUGUUUGUUCUGAAGCCCAAUAAAAACAUUAGCUACUAUAUAUCUUGAUUCUCUGGUUUGGGUUAUAAAGGACUUGCCUGCGAAUGCACGUGGGUCACCUUGUUUUGACGGGUAAUUAAGUCUGGGUUUCUUCCUUAGGUAACCAAGCAAACAGUCUCAAAUAUGCUUUGCUAGGCAGAACCAUGUGUAGACAGCAAGGUUUUAUUAUCCCUGGGGAAAAAUGUACCACAAGGGCAUGAAACCUAAAUUACCUUGAAUGAAAUAUCUUAAUGCCCCAACUUGGAGAAUGAUGUAGACAAUCCUGGAUAUGAAUUUUGUUUUAACCAUCAUUAAAGUUCUGUGUGCAAUCUGUACUUCUGCAGGAAUGUGAAACAUCCCAGGGAUUGGCUGGCUGCCUGAAGAGCCCUGGCACCCGCCUGUCAUGACAAGAGACCUGAGCAGUGACAUGCCCACAGUAGCAGUUCAGGUGGGUGUGUUACCUGUAUUUAAAGUCUUUUCUAGUUCUCUGCAUUGUACCAGAAAUUGCACGUGCCUUGUACAAUCUGUUUGGUCCUCUUGUAAUGUCCACUUUUCCUAAUAAACAUCUUUAGAAGUCUUUGCUUUGUGGCUGAUUUCCAAGGGUAUGAGUGUUCCCAUGUUUUAGUUACAUCCUUGUGAUGUGUUCUUUGGAUCAUGUAGGAAAGAGAAGAGAAAUUUGUAAUUGCUUCCUUUGAGUAGAAACUUUAUUUGAAGCUGCCAGAUCCAUGCAAGACCUUUGCCGGUAGCUUCUCUGAGUCUUUUCUUGGAAUGUCCUGAUGCUUCAGAUCAGACAGAAAACCACUGUAAGCAAAAUGGAAGAAGCUUCUCAUGAAGAAAAAUUAAUUCCGAAUGUUUGUUUGGGAAAUGAUGGUGAAACAAAUGGGAAGUUGUGAUCUUAGGUCCUGUCCCACUUCAGCCAUAUGAAGUUCAGCUACCUUGCACUUACAUGAAUACCAAGGGUUUGGCUUCAUCCUGGUUUGUUAGUUUUUGUUUCAAAGGAGGACUGAGAAAAGAGCAGAAUGCACCCAGUGGUCUUUAAUGUGCAGCACUUCCCUGUGUUUGCAAUGUUCCUCCCUUCAGUUGUUUCCAGGGAGGAGGGAAGGUGGCCUGUGUGCCUGCACAGAUCUGUUUUCAGGAGGUGAAAAUCUGUGCGUGUGUGCAUGUGUGUAUUUACUUCAAAAUCCCUUUCUUCUAUAGCAGUGUUCUGGCAUGUCCUGGAGUUCAACUGGACACUGUUUUUUAGUUCAGCUGGGCAGACAUUACCAGAAUCCCCCCAAAAGACGCUCUUUUUUCCCACGUUUAAUCCUUUUUACAUGUGGCAUUUACAUGUGUACUAAUCUUGCUAAACAGCAGGAAUGGACAGUUCCUAACAAUAGCUACUACAGAAGUGUAAAUUCAGAAGUUGGCAUGAGAUUAUUUUGGAGUCUUGGCCAAGAAAACAGGAUUAGAGUUUAACAAACAUACUUGGCAAUUUAAACAAAAUCCAAAAGUUCUAAGAUUUGACUCAGCUCUAUUCCUCCUCAAACAAACAAAACCUUCUUGAACGCCUUGAUCUGACACAUGGCAGUGUCAGCGUUGUGUGUGCAGUCCCUGAGUGCAGCUUCCAGCUCCUCACUGGUGUGACCUGCUGGCAGGCAGCUUGCUCCCUGGGAACAGGAUGGUGUGAUGUUGCAUUCAAUCAAAAUUUAGAAUGUCUCCUGUUAUGGCAAAAGUUUUAAGUUUGGGUUUAGCAUCCUGUGAAUAACCAAGCAGAGUGCUUUCAUGGGGAAAGGGGAGAUGCACUUCAACUAGGACUGGCCUUGAGGGAAUCUUCAGCUGCAGAUGAGGAGCCAUCCCCUGCCCUGCAAAUCCACCAGACCUUGAAUAAACUUGUUUUAUGUUUAUGUUCAA